GAGUUUGAUUAUGGCUCAGAACGAACGCUGGCGGCGCGCCUAAUACAUGCAAGUCGAGCGAGAAGACGUAGCAAUACGUUUGUAAAGCGGCGAACGGGUGAGGAAUACAUGGGUAACCUACCCUCGAGUGGGGAAUAACUAGCCGAAAGGUUAGCUAAUACCGCAUACGACUCUUGGUCUGCGGAUCAGGAGAGAAAGCGAUACCGUGGGUAUCGCGCUCUUGGAUGGGCUCAUGUCCUAUCAGCUUGUUGGUGAGGUAACGGCUCACCAAGGCUUCGACGGGUAGCUGGUCUGAGAGGACGAUCAGCCACACUGGCACUGCGACACGGGCCAGACUCCUACGGGAGGCAGCAGUAAGGAAUAUUGCGCAAUGGGCGACAGCCUGACGCAGCGACGCCGCGUGGGGGAUGAAGGUCUUCGGAUUGUAAACCCCUUUCGGCAGGGAAGAUGGAACGGGCAACCGUUCGGACGGUACCUGCAGAAGCAGCCACGGCUAACUUCGUGCCAGCAGCCGCGGUAAUACGAAGGUGGCAAGCGUUGUUCGGAUUUACUGGGCGUACAGGGAGCGUAGGCGGUCGGGUAAGCCCUCCGUGAAAUCUCCGGGCCUAACCCGGAAAGUGCGGAGGGGACUGCUCGGCUAGAGGAUGGGAGAGGAGCGCGGAAUUCCCGGUGUAGCGGUGAAACGCGUAGAGAUCGGGAGGAAGGCCGGUGGCGAAGGCGGCGCUCUGGAACAUUUCUGACGCUGAGGCUCGAAAGCGUGGGGAGCAAACAGGAUUAGAUACCCUGGUAGUCCACGCCUUAAACGAUGGAUACUAAGUGUCGGCGGGUUACCGCCGGUGCCGCAGCUAACGCAGUAAGUAUCCCGCCUGGGAAGUACGGCCGCAAGGUUGAAACUCAAAUGAAUUGACGGGG
rnacentral:rRNA from 1 species